rnacentral:rRNA from 1 species
CCUACGGGGGGCAGCAGUGGGGAAUAUUGCACAAUGGGGGAAACCCUGAUGCAGCGACGCCGCGUGAGUGAAGAAGUAUUUCGGUACGUAAAGCUCUAUCAGCAGGGAAGAAAAUGACGGUACCUGUCUAAGAAGCCCCGGCUAACUACGUGCCAGCAGCCGCGGUAAUGCGGAGGGGGCAAGCGUUAUCCGGAUUUACUGGGGGUAAAGGGAGCGUAGGCGGCAGCGUAAGUCUGGAGUGAAAUCCCAUGGCUUAACCAUGGAACUGCUUUGGAAACUGUGCAGCUAGAGUGCAGGAGAGGUAAGCGGAAUUCCUAGUGUAGCGGUGAAAUGCGUAGAUAUUAGGAGGAACACCAGUGGCGAAGGCGGCUUACUGGACUGUAACUGACGUUGAGGCUCGAAAGCGUGGGGAGCGAACAGGAUUAGAUACCCUUGUAGUC